GUGGGCGUGGUGAAACCGGUAGACACGUCAGAAUUAGAAUCUGAUGCCAAUUAGGCGUAAGGGUUCGAAUCCCUUCGCCCGCACUA
rnacentral:tRNA from 1 species